UCGCACGAGAAAGGGGAGCAAUCCCUGAGUACAGUGGCGCACGGGUGAGUAACACGUGAAUGAUCUACCUCCGAGUGGGGAAUAACUGAGAGAAAUCUUAGCUAAUACCGCAUAACACUUACGAGUCAAAGCAGCAAUGCGCUUGGAGAGGAGUUCGCGGCCGAUUAGUUAGUUGGCGGGGUAAUGGCCCACCAAGACGAUGAUCGGUAUCCGGCCUGAGAGGGCGCACGGACACACUGGAACUGAAACACGGUCCAGACUCCUACGGGAGGCAGCAGUGGGGAAUUUUGCGCAAUGGGGGAAACCCUGACGCAGCAACGCCGCGUGGAGGAUGAAAUAUCUUGGUAUGUAAACUCCUUUCGAUGGGGAAGAUUAUGACGGUACCCAUAGAAGAAGCCCCGGCUAACUUCGUGCCAGCAGCCGCGGUAAUACGAGGGGGGCAAGCGUUGUUCGGAUUUAUUGGGCGUAAAGGGUGCGUAGGCGGUUUGGCAAGUCUGAUGUGAAAUCUAUGGGCUCAACCCAUAGUCUGCAUCAGAAACUGCCGGGCUUGAGUAUGGGAGAGGUGAGUGGAAUUUCCGGUGUAGCGGUGAAAUGCGUAGAUAUCGGAAGGAACACCUGUGGCGAAAGCGGCUCACUGGACCAUAACUGACGCUGAUGCACGAAAGCUAGGGGAGCAAACAGGAUUAGAUACCCUGGUAGUCCUAGCCCUAAACGAUGAUUUGCUUGGGUGUGGCAGGUACCCAAUCCUGCCGUGCCGAAGCUAACGCGAUAAGCAUCCGGCUUGGGGAGUACGGUCGCAAGGCU
rnacentral:rRNA from 1 species